GACGAACCGUACGAACGUUAUUCGGAAUCACUGGGCUUAAAGGGUGCGUAGGCGGCGCGACAAGUUGGGUGUGAAAUCCCUCGGCUCAACCGAGGAACUGCGCCCAAAACUGUCGUGCUCGAGGGAGACAGAGGUGAGCGGAACUUAGGGUGGAGCGGUGAAAUGCGUAGAUAUCGGAAGGAACACCAGUGGCGAAAGCGGCUUCCUGGUCCAGCACCGACGUUCAGGCACGAAAGCGUGGGGAGCAAACAGG
rnacentral:rRNA from 1 species